UAGCCAGUACGGUUCUGUUCCAAAUGACGUCGAAGUGUUUUGUUACCCGUUCUCUUUUCGGAUUUUCAUACCCCAAGCAAGAGUAGUACCACCCUUAUGAGAGAAAUGUUAACGAUUGUGUGUCAUGAGUGGUUCAUGAAGACUGAAGAGAGUUAGCUACCCCAAGCAAAGGAUGCCAGAACUCCCUUAUCUACUUAGUUUUCCGCCAUAUCCGACAGCGAACUCCCUCCUCCACAGUAUUUAUCCCACUGACUACGGCUUUGCCAACAGGAGAGAUGAAGGUGAUGGGAAUAAAUGGCACUGUGCAUGAAACUUCAGGUCCAAAACACAGGGGGACAGUUUCCUUCACACACCAUAGAAUUUUCAAGAGUUUCUCUACGUAAAUUAUCGAUUUCAAUUUUCUACUGUAACUCAGAGCAACCAACUUAUCGAAGAACAUGUCACAAAACACCGAACCAAGCAAACUGUUAAAGUUUCCCCUGAAACAAUAAUCAAGGAUUUCGGCGUCCACUUAUAUCCAAGUUAAAAGGUAGGUGACUCCACGGUCCUUGACGGUGACGUCAAGAGGACAGAGGUUACUUUGGCAAACAGGGUAUUCAGUAUUAAUUCAGUUUUUGUUUCGACGGCGAUCUGAGUGAUGGUGUUUCUUAGUGUGGUUAGGUUGUUUGGCGGUGGAUUUGGGCUGUUAUGGUUGAUACCAUUUUACGUCUAGGAGAAGAAAAUGAGGCUUGUCUUGUGAAGCUAAGACUGAAGUUUAGUGGUUUGAAGAACUGUACUACAGGCAGAGUCGUGAGGGAGUGUCUCGAGCUCUUCAAAAGGAUUUUCGUGGAAUCUAAAACCUGUCUUGACUCGGACUACAAUUGACAAGG